rnacentral:lncRNA from 1 species
UAGGUAAUGAAUUUCCCCAGUCCAACUUAUUGAAUAAUCAUUGUCCUGAAGUAGUUAAUGGAUUUGAGUUACAGCUCGGCAAAUUCCACAAAGAAAAUAAAACAGCACAAGGUCCCCACAGAGCGACGGGAGGCAGGAAAGGGGAAGUCCAUGCCACCAGAGGAAUAGUUUCAUUGAACGCUUGAUCUUUGAGCCGAACUCAGAAGGAGCCACCCCUGUAAAGGUCUAUAGGCUGAUUAAACUUGAUGGGUUCUGGAGAUGCCGAGGAAGAGAGGCAGCAUCACCUACUUGCCUGGACUCUAGAUGGGCAGCUGAUCAUCUUGGACAGACUGCUGGAUGCUGUACCCAGGGUGGUCACUCCCAGACACCAUAGAAAAUGAUCUUCAUGGCUGCUGUAUGGAAUGUUGAUCACAAAAGAGCGAGGAUGGAAGGGGAAUGUCCAGGUAGGGGAGGAAAAGAACGUUUGCCAUAGGAAAAUGUUCCAAGUCUUUCAGACUGCUCUAACUGUAUCCAUAUACCAUGGAGGGGUGGCUGUGGUCCCGCUGCCUGCCUGUGUGCUCUCACCACAGUUGCCUGUGUGCUCUGUUUUGUGUGUUUGGCUUCCAGGUCUGCUGCAUUUGACUCUUUGUUGUCAGUGUAGUAGGUGGCUUUUUGUGAUUUCUGGGAGUGUGGCUCCCCGUUCAUAUUUUAUCUUGAUUUUGGCCAGUCUUCUCUUAUGGUUAAUGUAACAUUAAUGUUCUUAUUUGCUGUGAUAAAUUGGGUCUUUUGCUUAUACCAGUAGAAAAAGCCUUCAGGUCUCAAGUGGAAUCACGCCAUUACCCCAAUUCUUUGUCCCCAGAGAGUUCAGUGAUAUUAAGUCCCCACCCAAACCUCAUCUUGAAUUGUAAUCCCCAUGUGUUGAGGGAGGGAAGUGAUUGGAUUAUGGGGGUGGUCUCCCCAUGCUGUUCUCAUGAUAGUGAGUGAAUUCUCAGGGUAUCUGAUGGUUUUAUAAAAGGUAGUAUUUCUAGCACUCUCACAUGCUCUUCUCUCUCCUGCCGCCAUGUGAAGAAG